GGAUCCUUUCGAUCAGGAUGAUUGGGAACAUUAUGCAAAGAUGACAACAGAAAUUGGUGAGCAGCUGCAAGAUGCAAGUUAUGGUUAUGGUUAUGAUCUCUUUGUCACAAAUCCUAAGUGUGUUGACAAAGCAAUCAAGGAGAAGACUUGCAAUGCCCUUCUUAUGAGGGUGGUUCAAUUGUUGGAAACUCCUUAUGUGAAUCUCAUAAAUUAUGCAUCAUAGGUAUUGCAUCUUUUUCUGAUUUCAUUUCUGUUCAUCAUAUCCCGAUUAUCUAGAUCCUCCAUCGUUAACAGAGGUCAGUUUGUUCUUCAGUUGUUUUAUGCAGUUUUGAGAAAUGAUUUCAUUUGAUGUGGCCAUCACUAAAUGUAAACUCGAUUGAAACUAAGAAAUUAGAAGAAACAGUAACAGUUUGUUGCUAUUAAACUUUUAUAUGGAAAUAUUAUAGAUGUUUCUGAUUUUCUUAUUUGGGUUGGUGGUUACAAGAACAAAUUGAAUAACAUUGGGGUGUGUUAUGUAACAGGCCAAAUUUGAGCUGAAGAGAUUUGCAAGCUUCGUGAGGUUCUAACAAGUUCUGGGAUGUUUAUCUACAAGUCCAAAGUACUAUUUUAGGGAGCAUGUAAAUUUUCUUAAGGUAAGAUCAAGACUUUCGUGGCUGCGGUCCAGCAUCUCUUUUCCACCUUCGACGUCAAUUUCGUCUUAGAAGCCGCCCGAAUCUGCAGAAACUCAAAACCUAAAAAUUGUGGGGUUGUUUGUUAGAUUUCUAUAUCAUCUUGAAUAACUUAAAUCCGAGCUCGGAUGAGUUAGAUAUGCUUGAAAUACUGUAGUCUCGUAAAGC